UACGAAGGGGGCUAGCGUUGCUCGGAAUCACUGGGCGUAAAGGGUGCGUAGGCGGGUCUUUAAGUCAGAGGUGAAAGCCUGGAGCUCAACUCCAGAACUGCCUUUGAUACUGAGGAUCUCGAGUUCGGGAGAGGUGAGUGGAACUGCGAGUGUAGAGGUGAAAUUCGUAGAUAUUAGGAAGAACACCAGUGGCGAAGGCGGCUCACUGGUCCGGUACUGACGCUGAGGUGCGAAAGCGUGGGGAGCAAACAGG
rnacentral:rRNA from 1 species